GAAGGUGUACUGUGAGGUAUGCUGGAGGUAUCAGAAGUGCGAAUGCUGACAUAAGUAACGAUAAAGCGGGUGAAAAGCCCGCUCGCCGGAAGACCAAGGGUUCCUGUCCAACGUUAAUCGGGGCAGGGUGAGUCGACCCCUAAGGCGAGGCCGAAAGGCGUAGUCGAUGGGAAACAGGUUAAUAUUCCUGUACUUGGUGUUACUGCGAAGGGGGGACGGAGAAGGCUAUGUUGGCCGGGCGACGGUUGUCCCGGUUUAAGCGUGUAGGCUGGUUUUCCAGGCAAAUCCGGAAAAUCAAGGCUGAGGCGUGAUGACGAGGCACUACGGUGCUGAAGCAACAAAUGCCCUGCUUCCAGGAAAAGCCUCUAAGCAUCAGGUAACAUCAAAUCGUACCCCAAACCGACACAGGUGGUCAGGUAGAGAAUACCAAGGCGCUUGAGAGAACUCGGGUGAAGGAACUAGGCAAAAUGGUGCCGUAACUUCGGGAGAAGGCACGCUGAUAUGUAGGUGAAGUCCCUUGCGGAUGGAGCUGAAAUCAGUCGAAGAUACCAGCUGGCUGCAACUGUUUAUUAAAAACACAGCACUGUGCAAACACGAAAGUGGACGUAUACGGUGUGACGCCUGCCCGGUGCCGGAAGGUUAAUUGAUGGGGUUAGCGGUAACGCGAAGCUCUUGAUCGAAGCCCCGGUAAACGGCGGCCGUAACUAUAACGGUCCUAAGGUAGCGAAAUUCCUUGUCGGGUAAGUUCCGACCUGCACGAAUGGCGUAAUGAUGGCCAGGCUGUCUCCACCCGAGACUCAGUGAAAUUGAACUCGCUGUGAAGAUGCAGUGUACCCGCGGCAAGACGGAAAGACCCCGUGAACCUUUACUAUAGCUUGACACUGAACAUUGAGCCUUGAUGUGUAGGAUAGGUGGGAGGCUUUGAAGUGUGGACGCCAGUCUGCAUGGAGCCGGCCUUGAAAUACCACCCUUUAAUGUUUGAUGUUCUAACGUUGGCCCCUGAUCGGGGUUGCGGACAGUGUCUGGUGGGUAGUUUGACUGGGGCGGUCUCCUCCUAAAGAGUAACGGAGGAGCACGAAGGUUGGCUAAUCCUGGUCGGACAUCAGGAGGUUAGUGCAAUGGCAUAAGCCAGCUUGACUGCGAGCGUGACGGCGCGAGCAGGUGCGAAAGCAGGUCAUAGUGAUCCGGUGGUUCUGAAUGGAAGGGCCAUCGCUCAACGGAUAAAAGGUACUCCGGGGAUAACAGGCUGAUACCGCCCAAGAGUUCAUAUCGACGGCGGUGUUUGGCACCUCGAUGUCGGCUCAUCACAUCCUGGGGCUGAAGUAGGUCCCAAGGGUAUGGCUGUUCGCCAUUUAAAGUGGUACGCGAGCUGGGUUUAGAACGUCGUGAGACAGUUCGGUCCCUAUCUGCCGUGGGCGCUGGAGAACUGAGGGGGGCUGCUCCUAGUACGAGAGGACCGGAGUGGACGCAUCACUGGUGUUCGGGUUGUCAUGCCAAUGGCACUGCCCGGUAGCUAAAUGCGGAAGAGAUAAGUGCUGAAAGCAUCUAAGCACGAAACUUGCCCCGAGAUGAGUUCUCCCUGACUCCUUGAGAGUCCUGAAGGAACGUUGAAGACGACGACGUUGAUAGGCCGGGUGUGUAAGCGCAGCGAUGCGUUGAGCUAACCGGUACUAAUGAACCGUGAGGCUUAACCUU
rnacentral:rRNA from 1 species